AACGAACGCUGGCGGCAUGCCUAACACAUGCAAGUCGAACGGGAUCCGAGCUUCGGUUCGGUGAGAGUGGCGGACGGGUGAGUAACGCGUGGGAACCUGCCCAGUGGUGGGGGAUAACUGCGGGAAACUGCAGCUAAUACCGCAUGAGCCCGAGAGGAGAAAGAUUUAUCGCCAUUGGAGGGGCCCGCGUUCGAUUAGGUAGUUGGUGGGGUAACGGCCUACCAAGCCGACGAUCGAUAGCUGGUAUGAGAGGAUGAUCAGCCACACUGGGACUGAGAUACGGCCCAGACUCCUACGGGAGGCAGCAGUGGGGAAUAUUGGACAAUGGGGGCAACCCUGAUCCAGCAAUGCCGCGUGAGUGAUGAAGGCCUUCGGGUUGUAAAGCUCUUUUGCCAGGGACGAUGAUGACGGUACCUGGAGAAUAAGCCCCGGCUAACUUCGUGCCAGCAGCCGCGGUAAAAC
rnacentral:rRNA from 1 species